rnacentral:tRNA from 1 species
GCACGAGUGGCGGAAUUGGCAGACGCGCCGGAUUUAGGUUCCGGUACCGCAAGGUGUGGGGGUUCAAGUCCCUCCUCGUGCA